rnacentral:rRNA from 1 species
AGUGAACGCUGGCGGCAGGCCUAACACAUGCAAGUCGAACGGCAGCACGGCAGUAGCAAUACUGUGGGUGGCGAGUGGCGGACGGGUGAGGAAUACAUCGGGAUCUACCCUGUUGUGGGGGAUAACGUAGGGAAACUUACGCUAAUACCGCAUAAGAACUGAGGUUGAAAGCGGCGGACCGCAAGGCGUCGCGCGAUUGGAUGAACCGAUGUCCGAUUAGCUAGUUGGCGGGGUAAAGGCCCACCAAGGCGACGAUCGGUAGCUGGUCUGAGAGGACGACCAGCCACACUGGAACUGAGACACGGUCCAGACUCCUACGGGAGGCAGCAGUGGGGAAUAUUGGACAAUGGGCGCAAGCCUGAUCCAGCCAUGCCGCGUGGGUGGAAGAAGGCCUCGGGUUGGUUAAAGG